rnacentral:rRNA from 1 species
UACGUAGGGUGCGAGCGUUAAUCGGAAUUACUGGGCGUAAAGCGUGCGCAGGCGGUUCGUUGUGUCGGCGGUGAAAGCCCCGGGCUCAACCUGGGAAUGGCCGUUGAAACUGGCGAACUGGAGUGUGGCAGGAGGGGGGUGGAAUUCCGCGUGUAGCAGUGAAAUGCGUAGAGAUGCGGAGGAACACCGAUGGCGAAGGCAGCCCCCUGGGCUAGCACUGACGCUCAGGCACGAAAGCGUGGGGAGCAAACAGG